rnacentral:rRNA from 1 species
AACCAGCACCUCAAGUGGUCAGGAUGAUUAUUGGGCCUAAAGCAUCCGUAGCCUGUUCUGUAAGUUUUCGGUUAAAUCUAUGCGCUCAACGUAUAGGCUGCCGAAAAUACUGCAGAACUAGGGAGUGGGAGAGGUAGACGGUACUCGGUAGGAAGGGGUAAAAUCCUUUGAUCUAUUGAUGACCACCUGUGGCGAAGGCGGCUGACUAACAAAACAUUGACACUGAGGCGCGAAAGCGUGGGUAGCAAACAGG